CAGUCGCCACGGUAAUACGAAGGGUGCAAGCGUUAAUCGGAAUUACUGGGCGUAAAGCGUGCGUAGGCGGUGAGUUAAGUCUGCUGUGAAAUCCCCGGGCCCAACCUGGGAAUGGCAGUGGAUACUGGCUCGCUAGAGUGUGUCAGAGGAUGGUGGAAUUCCGGUGUAGCAGUGAAAUGCGUAGAGAUCGGAAGGAACAUCUGUGGCGAAGGCGACUAUCUGGGCCAACACUGACACUGAGGCACGAAAGCGUGGGGAGCAAACAGGAUUAGAUACCCCGGUAGUCCCUGUCUCUUAUACA
rnacentral:rRNA from 1 species